rnacentral:rRNA from 1 species
AGCAGUAGCCGCGGUAAUACGAAGGGUGCAAGCGUUAAUCGGAAUUACUGGGCGUAAAGCGUGCGUAGGCGGUGAGUUAAGUCUGCUGUGAAAUCCCCGGGCUCAACCUGGGAAUGGCAAUGGAUACUGGCAAGCUAGGGUGUGUCAGAGGAUGGUGGAAUUCCCGGUGUAGCGGUGAAAUGCGUAGAGAUCGGGAGGAACAUCAGUGGCGAAGGCGGCCAUCUGGGACAACACUGACGCUGAGGCACGAAAACGUGGGGAGCAAACAGGAUUAGAUACCCGCGUAGUCCCUGUCUCUUAUAC